CUCCCUUCUCUCUUUCUCAUCCUCUCUUUGACACUCUGACUCUCCGAUUCUCCGACUCUUCGACUUUGUCAUUUCUUCCUCUCGCUCUCACUCUCCACCGCCACCACCACCGCCGCCGCCUCAGAUUCAACCUCAACCUCAGUAAGAACAACAACCACAAACAGCAGGAAAGGAUGGUUUCGUCACAGGGGUCACCGUCGUUUUAGAUGUUGUCUUUGCCUGGGUUGUGGGGGUACAGUGUUUGAAUUCAUAGUUGGCGUCCUACCCUAUACUGUCACCGAGGCUUCUAUUUUUCCUAACUUCUAGCCUGUUAGGGUUUUCGCAGCUUCCGCUUUUUCCCAUUAUGCCAAUUCCUAGCCCUCGCUAGAAGGGAAUUUUAGAGGGGUGAAAAGGAGGUUGGUGAUGCCUAUUUAACGAGUGUGUCCUUCAUCAACUGUUCCUGCCAUUUUCGGGAGUGGUGCCAAUUGUGCCUUUGCUAGUUUCAUGGGAAGGUUUUAGAGGCCGCUAUACUGGCCACCAAGGCCUGGAGCACACAAUUGUCUGUGGUCUUCUAGCAUCUUUGUUUAUACCUUGACACACUAGGAAAGCAGGAGAAGAAAUUAAGGACCAGGAAGUGUGCAAAUGGUAACAGUGAACUAUGAAUCAAAAGAGGGAGAGAUCACAUUCAGAGCAAUGAGCUUCAAGAAGUGCAGAAAUUUGUAUAAGCCUAAUCUGCAAGUUGGAUGAAGUUGUUGUUAUUGAAAAAACCACAAGCACAAAGAGGAGGAAGGGAUCAAGAAAGUAGUGGAAGAACUCAAUCCAAUAAGAAGAAUAGUUUUUGGCAUGCUUUACAACUAGAACCUUCUAUGGCUUUUGCAAUUCAAAUUUUGGAUGGAACACCUCUUUGCCCUGGUGGCAAGAUUCCUACAUCUGUCAGCCAGGCUAAAUUUGAGUAGAUAACUGUUAUUGGGGACAAGUUUAUAUCCAAGCAUGUAGAUGAUAAAAAGGAAAAGAAAUUGAAAAAGGUGGAAGACAAAAUGCUUGGAUGGGGGAAUCUCAUUCACGACCUCCAAUUUUCAAAGAACAAGUCAAUAAUUAUGUUGCAGACGAAAUUCAUGUGUUAGUGCCAUUCAAGUUCAUGGAUUUGCUACAGGAUUUUGGUGGCCUCGUGGUUCUCUAUUCCUCAACAAGACAUGGAUUUGCUGCAGGAUUUUGGUGGCCUCGUGGUUUGCAAUAGAUGACUUAAAAGUUGACAUGAUAUGGGAGAAGCUACAAAAAGGAAUUGGAUUAGAGAUAGUUAAACAGUUAGCUUCAGUUGGAAUCAAGAUGGUGCUCACAACAAGAAAUGAAGAGAGGGAUCUCCAAGCACAGGAAACACUCAAAGCCUCAGGUCUUUCUCACCUUGUACUGUUUCAUCAGGUGGAUGUGGCUAACUCAACAAGUGUAGUAGCUUCUCUAGCAGAUUUUAUCAAAUAUAAAUUUUGGAAACUUGAUAUUCACAACUUUAAUCAUAAUUACAUGCUUUUAACUUGAAAGUUUUAUAUCCUUUGUAACAUGAAUUCAGCUAAAUUUGUUUAGCUAUAUUGUUCCCCUUGGAUUAUUAAAACAAUUUCCUUGACAGAUUUGGCUAUCCAUAUGCAAGGAAUAUUUUUAUUUAUUAUUAAUAACAAUAUAUAAAGCAAUAUAUUAUUAUUAUUAACUUAUUAUUAUCCCUGGUACAUUUUUAUUAACAAUAUAUUAUUAUUAUUAUUAAUUUAUUAUUAUCCCUGGUACAUUUUUUUCUCUCAUUUUGUUACUCAACUUGUAAUAAUCUUUUCUCUAGCUACGUGGCAGAGCAGGAAGACAGGGGAAUCCGAGAUCAACAUGAUUUACGGUCAGGUAGUAAUAGUAUACUACUCACUACUGUUGUUAUUGCUAAAUAGUUUUUAAACAUGCGUGUGUACAUUUCUUUCCUAACACUAAUUGGUGAACUGAACCUGAUUGAAUGCCAUCUUCACAUAAGGUAAUUUUUUCUGUUACUUAUUGUAUUUUAAUUUUCAUGGGACAUCUUCACUUUAUAAGCUUGUUAAUAAAAUAUAGUACUUAUGUUGUUAGAGUGCAUUAGCUCCAUGACUUGCAAGAUUGACUACUCCUCCUUCUAGAUGAAUUGUCAUACUCUGAUAACAAAAAAUAACGUAUCACACAUGUCUUUAGAAAAUUAUAGAAUAAUUAACUGCUCUCUUUCUAAUUUUUUAGCACUUCUCUUUGGUUCAUCAAAGUGCUUUCUCCUGGUUUACACAAAUGGUAAGCGACUACAUCUUAUAAUAAUUCACCAAGCUAAAUCAUUUUACUGAUUAUUAAUUAAAUGUAAAUAUUUUUGUUUCAUAAAACAUGCCCCUUAGAAAGUCUUCAAUUCCUUUUCAGAGAAAUUGUUGGUUGUUUUUCAUUGUUAAUCUUGUUUCAUAUCCUAAUAAAAAGUAAUGUUGGCAGUGCAACUAGUGUUGAUGUUGAAGAACACCUAUAUAGGCUUGCAAAAGAUAUGAGAAUCAUGGUGUUAUUUCCUCACAAGUAACUUGACUAUAUAUGAAUAUUGGAAAAAAAAAAUACUGCCAUGGUAAAUUUAGUGAAUUAAGAGUACUUCACUAAUUUGUUGUUUAAUUUUGAUCUUGCCUCAUUUUCUUCCUAGUGUACACUUAUUUAAUUUCUUUAGUUCUAGAUAAACCAGUUAUAGCUUGUCUAACCUUAAACCUGCAUGUUAGCCAUAAUAAUGUGUGAUCAAACUAAUUUUCUCUGCUCCUGCCCCUAGUGUCCUGCUUUAAUUCCAUUUCAUUCCAUGGAACUAUGGCUGGUUAAUGGUGAAGGUAAUUGGAAGCUUUGAUUGAUCAAGCAGUGAGUUCACUAAAACACUAUUGUUGCCAUGGAUAUUAGCCUAUGUGUGUUUUGACCUUUUUUAAAAAAUUUAAGUUAUUAUAAAGCAUAAAAUAAAAUGAAAAUUAGUAAGGAAUGGACUGGGGAAAGAGCAUGGAGAGAAGAGAGAGCCAAGAGUGGGAUUAGAGAGAUACAGGGAAAGAGUAUCAUUUUUUCUGCUUGACAAUCUCCUUGUAUUCUAAAUCAUCUACAGAUGCCGAGGAUGCGGGAUUUGAUGAUGUCAUUAUUGAGGAUCAAACUGAUAAGACACGAGGUGCAGAGCUUAAUGAGCUUGAUGUGGAAGAGGAAGACGCGGCGGAGGAAGAAGGUUUCAGGUCCUCGUCUCCACUGGGGAACGAUGAGGUGGCGAUGAAAAAAAUGUGCAAGGGAGAAGUAGAGAGCAUUAAUGAGUGUAUUUGAGAUUAUCAUGAAAUCACCAAAACGAAAAGAUCUUGAGAGGAAGUCAUCCAAAUAUAGAUAAUGGCAAUAUAUGUUUCAUCCACUUUUUAAGUGAACAUCUUUUUGAAUUUUGAUGUUGAAGUAGAAUAUCAUAAAUAGAUUGCCACGUAUCCACAGUAAGGUGCCUAGCCAUAUAUUUAUUACACACUAGCUAGGUGCAGUUUUUGCAUGUCUUUAACCUUUAGUUGAAAGUCUGCAGUAACAAUAUUAUUCCUUUGUGUGCAGGGAGAAUCCUUAGAGGUAAAGUGAAGGUUGAGUUUCACAUUUCAUAUUUAAUACACUGGUUAUAUAGUUGGCUUUGAGUAGAGGAUCCUUUACUUUAAGGGAAAGAUUUUGACUCUGAGGAUCCUUUUUUUUAUCAUCAUUUGCACUUGGUGGUUACUGUUGUUUCAGCAAAUUACUGUUGAUUUUCUUUUUUGUUUACUAACAUUUUUUCAUAUAUAUUAGACCAUUGAAACACCAGACCAAAGGUUAUAUCCUUUUUUGCUCAUUUAAAUAAUUCAUUUGUUACUUUCUUGAAUCUUGAUGAAUUAAGGUUGUUCAGAUGAAUCAUACAUGUAAUCCAAUCACAAAAAGUAAAUGUUGUAGAAAAUAGAGAAAACAACUACUGCACUAAAAAUAUAAAUCAAUUUGGAUAUAGAUGUUUUCUUCAUGUCUAGAAUUUCCAAGGAACUUUUUGGUUACUGCUUGGAGGAAAUGUUUUCUGUUUUUUAUUUUUUUAGUUUCACUUUGUUUUUUGUUUUUUUUUCAAGUUUGUACAGGAAAAAGUGAAUACAAAAUGAUGAAUGUUAGGUUGGUAUUUGGUUUGGGUAAUUUGUUUCAGAAAGGUUAAUUUUUAUGUUCUAAAUUUAAUUGCAUUAAGAUUUAAUAGUGUUUCUUAUUUUUUUUGAGAAAAAUGAUGAAUUUUCCUUACCUAAAUGUGUUUGUCUUUUUUUUUUUUUGAAAAAAAAUCACCACCUUACAGGUAGCUUAGUGGUGAGACUUGUCUUUUUACCUUUUGAAGAAAGUUCAUAUGCAACAUUUGCCAGGUCCGCUUCAGGUAUGCUCUAAAAGAUGUUGGCAGAGUGGAGGAAGCAAUCGAGUACUAUAAUAUAUGUUCUUUCCUUACACUGGUUCUCUCUUUUUCAGGAAACAAAUGAUAUAUAUCGGGAGACAUAGCUUAGUAGCAUUUUAUAUUCCUAUGUAUGUAUUCUAUGUAAUGUAUGAUAUCCAUGUAUGAGGGGCAGGUUAUAUUUAAUGAUAUAUGAAAUUGAGUUGUA